rnacentral:tRNA from 1 species
GGCCCGCGCGGCCGGGCCCGGGGCGGUGUCCGCCGGCAGGGCGGGCAGGAGGUCCGCCGCGGGCGGCUGGUACGGGUCCGGCGCCGGCUU